AGUGGCCGAGGAUAUGGAUCAUGUGUGUGUUUUUUCCAAUAUAGGUAAACCAAAUGACUUCUAAACAAAAGGCUAGCGCUAGCCGGUAGGAGGGGAUUUGGUACGAAUGAGAAGCAGAGGCAAUUUUCACACAACAACAGCAGAGGUAAUAACAAAAAAUUCAGAGGCACCAAGCCUCAACUGGUGCAUUCAUUCUAGGAAGACUGAUAUGGAAAGAGCAGAACAAACGUGCAAAGAAGAAGGAAUUUAUGGAUAGGAACACAACACAUCACUGCUACAAUGUACAGAAUCAAUUUCCAACCAAUCGACUUCAAAAGGAGCAUGCCAGAGGAGGAAAAAAAUCACAAUGACAACAAUUGGAGCUCAAUUGUUGCAAUGACAACUCUCUAUUAUAAUACAAAAAUAAAUAAAUCCAUUCGCUGGGUUGUGGGGACGUCGGUCGAAAGGCUGGCCGGUUGUGGGUCUUUGCACUGAGAUCUUGGAAUCGGAGAGUUCCUCCGCCUCUACAUUCGCUGAUGAUGGUGGGGUGCCAUAACUUCUGCAACGAACAUGGAAUGGCAAUGACCCAAGAUUUCUUCUUCAUGAAGUCGGUGAAAAAAGAUAGACGUCUUCUCCUAAUCUCCUCAAAGAGGUUACCGUCGACAAACUGGAGAUCGAUACCUCGGACUACUGGUCAAGGAAAUCUCAGGUUGAAUCAGAUGAGGUCGCUGCCACUUGUCAAGGGAAGCUAAGAAUAAGAUGACGUGGCAGAAAAUUAUCCUAUCCGACAGUUUAUUCGAUAAUUUACCUGCUGGCAAUCCUGGCAUCUUGGCAUGGCAGCGGCAAUGGCGGUUAUUGCUGCUUUUUUAUCUUCUUACUAGGUCGUGUACUUGCUG
rnacentral:lncRNA from 1 species